GGGGCUGUAGCUCAGUGGAAGAGCGUCUGCUUGUCAUGCAGGAGGUCCCAGGUUUAAUCCCUGGUGUCUCCA